UGGAGCCUGCGGUUUAAUUGGACUCAACGCCGGGCAGCUCACCGGAUAAGACAGCUGGAUGAUAGCCGGGCUGAAGACUCUGCUUGACUAGCUGAGAGGAGGUGCAUGGCCGUCGUCAGUUCGUACUGUGAAGCAUCCUGUUAAGUCAGGCAACGAGCGAGACCCACGCCAACAGUUGCCAGCAUGUCCUCCGGGAUGAUGGGGACACUGUUGGGACCGCCUCUGCUAAAGAGGAGGAAGGAAUGGGCAACGGUAGGUCAGCAUGCCCCGAAUUAUCCGGGCUACACGCGGGCUACAAUGGUCAGGACAAUGGGUAUCGACACCGAGAGGUGGAGGCAAUCUCCUAAACCUGUCCUUAGUUCGGAUUGUGGGCUGCAACUCGCCCACAUGAAGCUGGAAUCCGUAGUAAUCGCGUUUCAACAGAACGCGGUGAAUACGUCCCUGCUCCUU
rnacentral:rRNA from 1 species